UUGACCUCGGAUCAGGUAGGGAUACCCGCUGAACUUAAGCAUAUCAAUAAGCGGAGGAAAAGAAACCAACCGGGAUUGCCUCAGUAACGGCGAGUGAAGCGGCAAGAGCUCAAAUUUGAAAUCUGGCCCCCUCGGGGUCCGAGUUGUAAUUUGCAGAGGAUGCUUCGGGUGCGGCCCCCGUCUAAGUGCCCUGGAACGGGCCGUCAUAGAGGGUGAGAAUCCCGUCUGGGACGGGGUGUCCGC
rnacentral:rRNA from 1 species